GACGAACACUGGCGGCGUGCUUAACACAUGCAAGUCGAACGAAGUGGCGCACGGGUGAGUAACGCGUAAUCAACCUGCCCUUCAGAGGGGGACAACAGUUGGAAACGACUGCUAAUACCGAAUACUGAAGGUGGGGAUUGCGUCUGAUUAGCUAGUUGGCGGGGUAACGGCCCACCACGGCGAUGAUCAGUAGCCGGGCUGAGAGGAUGAACGGCCACAUUGGGACUGGGAAACGGCCCAGACUCCUACGGGAGGCAGCAGUGGGGAAGCUUCCGCAAUGGACGAAAGUCUGACGGAGCAACGCCGCGGGAGUGAUGACGGCCUUCGGGUUGUAAAGCUCUGUUAAUCGGGACGCGGUACCGGAAUAGAAAGCCACGGCUAACUACGUGCCAGCAGCCGCGGUAAUUC
rnacentral:rRNA from 1 species